CUUUUCCUUUGGACAGGUUUUGAUAAAUCUCCCCCAUGGUCUUUGGUGGUACGCUGUGCAUUAGUGGUGCAACUCCCACUUAUGUCAACAUUAAGGGAUUUAGUGGAUAUUUAGUGGACAUUGACAUUUUUGUGGAUACAACAAGGACGUCCAUUUAUGUGGUAAAGGAGUUCAGCAAAUCAGUGGUUUGUGAAGGUGCCCCGUUGCUGUUGUUGCUUAGGGUGUCAGCCAAUGGAGGUGAUUGCCUGUUUCAGGAAAUCGCCGUCAGGAGGUCCACCCUUAACUGUGCUGUUGCCUGAAGGUGCUGCUGGCUGACCAGGGCCAACAUAACUUGAAAGUCGUCAGUCUGCCGACGGUGAAGCCGGUGCAUGGUCCGAGUCAACCUUCACAACUCCCUUGCAAGGUGCCUGUUGUUUUCCCUGGACAACCUGUCCCUUUCAUGGACUACCCUAAGGUACAUGUCCAUUGGGACAGAUGGGGGUGCUGGGAGAGUGGACUGGGUGGACUGGGGAUAGGUGGUGAACAGCCAGCUGAACUCAGGGGUUGGCCCAUGUCCUCCUCAGGCACUGGCGAGAAGGCCGAAUGUGUGGCAUUUUCUUCUGCCUCAACGUCCCUCCGGCUCUCAGAUUGUGACAGGACAGGUGAUGGUGGGGGACUAUCACGGUGACUCCUCAAUGAAGCCUGGCCUUGUUGAUCUAAAAAAAAAAAGAUCUCUCUGCCUCGGAUGUAUGUGGACUCGUAGCCACAUUCCCGGAUGUCUGAGCCUCUGGUAGGAGGUGUUCCUUCAACUCCAUCUCCCACUUCCUGAAGCUGAUGUUCCUCCUCUGCCCUUGGUU